rnacentral:rRNA from 1 species
UACAGAGGUCUCAAGCGUUGUUCGGAUUCAUUGGGCGUAAAGGGUGCGUGGGUGGCGGGGUUAGUCAGGUGUGAAAUCUCGGGGCUCAACCCCGAAACUGCACUUGAUACUGCCUUGCUCGAGUACUGGAGAGGAGAUUGGAAUUUACGGUGUAGCAGUGAAAUGCGUAGAUAUCGUAAGGAAGACCAGUGGCGAAGGCGAAUCUCUGGACAGUUACUGACACUGAGGCACGAAGGCCAGGGGAGCAAACGGG